AGAGUUUGAUCAUGGCUCAGGAUGAACGCUAGCUACAGGCUUAACACAUGCAAGUCGAGGGGCAGCAGUGGUCUUAGCUUGCUAAGGCCGUAUGGCGACCGGCGCACGGGUGAGUAACACGUAUCCAACCUGCCGUCUACUCUUGGACAGCCUUCUGAAAAGGAAGAUUAAUACAAGAUGGCAUCAUGAGUCCGCAUGUUCACAUGAUUAAAGGUAUUCCGGUAGACGAGUGGGGAUGCGUUCCAUUAGAUAGUAGGCGGGGUAACGGCCCACCUAGUCUUCGAUGGAUAGGGGUUCUGAGAGGAAGGUCCCCCACAUUGGAACUGAGACACGGUCCAAACUCCUACGGGAGGCAGCA
rnacentral:rRNA from 1 species